rnacentral:rRNA from 1 species
UACGUAGGGGGCAAGCGUUGUCCGGAUUUAUUGGGCGUAAAGAGCUCGUAGGUGGUUCGGUAAGUCGGAUGUGAAAUCUCCAGGCUCAACCUGGAGGGGUCAUUCGAUACUGCCGUGACUAGAGGUCGGUAGGGGAGUGUGGAAUUCCUGGUGGAGCGGUGAAAUGCGCAGAUAUCGUAAGGAAGACCAGUGGCGAAGGCGGGUCUCUGGACAGUUCCUGACGCUGAGGACACGAAGGCCAGGGGAGCAAACGGG